rnacentral:misc_RNA from 1 species
AACGCACCUUGCGCUCCUUGGUAUUCCGAGGAGCAUGCCUGUUUGAGUGUCAUUAAAUUCUCAACUUCAUCAACUUUGUUGUUGAAGCUUGGAUGUGGGGGUCUUGCAGGUCUGCCUUAAUUGUGUGGUCUGCUCCUCUGAAAUAUAUUAGCGGGUUGGCUUCCCUCUAUCAGUGUGAUAAUUAUCUACGCUGUGGAUGGGUUUAGCUUUCAGACCAGCUUCUAAUCGUCCUUCUAGGACAAUCUCUUGACGUUUUUGACCUCAAAUCAGGUAGGACUACCCGCUGAACUUAA